UACGUAGGGACCAAGCGUUGUUCGGAUUUACUGGGCGUAAAGGGCGCGUAGUCGGCGUGGUAAGUCACUUGUGAAAUCUCUGAGCUUAACUCAGAACGGCCAAGUGAUACUGCUGUGCUAGAGUGCAGAAGGGGCAAUCGGAAUUCCUGGUGUAGCGGUGAAAUGCGUAGAUAUCAAGAGGAACACCUGAGGUGAAGACGGGUUGCUGGGCUGACACUGACGCUGAUGCGCGAAAGCCUGGGGAGCAAACGGG
rnacentral:rRNA from 1 species